rnacentral:rRNA from 1 species
AUUGAACGCUGGCGGAAUGCUUUACACAUGCAAGUCGAGCGGCAGCGCGGGGGCAACCCUGGCGGCGAGCGGCGAACGGGUGAGUAAUACAUCGGAACGUGUCCUUAAGUGGGGGAUAGCUCGGCGAAAGCCGGAUUAAUACCGCAUAAGCUCUGAGGAGGAAAGCGGGGGCUCCGUAAGGACCUCGCGCUGUUGGAGCGGCCGAUGUCGGAUUAGCUAGUUGGUGGGGUAAAGGCCCACCAAGGCGACGAUCCGUAGCUGGUCUGAGAGGACGACCAGCCACACUGGGACUGAGACACGGCCCAGACUCCUACGGGAGGCAGCAGUGGGGAAUUUUGGACAAUGGGCGCAAGCCUGAUCCAGCCAUGCCGCGUGCGGGAAGAAGGCCUGGUGUAACG